rnacentral:rRNA from 1 species
GAUGAACGCUGGCGGCGUGCCUAAUACAUGCAAGUCGAGCGAAUGGAUUGAGAGCUUGCUCUUAUGAAGUUAGCGGCGGACGGGUGAGUAACACGUGGGUAACCUGCCCAUAAGACUGGGAUAACUCCGGGAAACCGGGGCUAAUACCGGAUAACAUUUUGAAUCGCAUGGUUCGAAAUUGAAAGGCGGCUUCGGCUGUCACUUAUGGAUGGACCCGCGUCGCAUUAGCUAGUUGGUGAGGUAACGGCUCACCAAGGCAACGAUGCGUAGCCGACCUGGGAGGGUGAUCGGCCACACUAGGACUGAGACACGGCCCAGACUCCUACGGGAGGCAGCAGUAGGGAAUCUUCCGCAAUGGACGAAAGUCUGACGGAGCAACGCCGCGUGAGUGAUGAAGGCUUUCGGGUCGUAAAACUCUGUUGUUAGGGAAGAACAAGUGCUAGUUGAAUAAGCUGGCACCUUGACGGUACCUAACCAGAAAGCCACGGCUAACUACGUGCCAGCAGCCGCGGUAA